UACGAAGGGGGCUAGCGUUGUUCGGAAUUACGUGGGACGUAAAGCGCACGGUAGCGGAUCGAUCAGUCAGGGGUGAAAUCCCAGAGCUCAACUCUGGAACUGCCUUUGAUACUGUCGAUCUAGAGUAUGGAAGAGGUGAGUGGAAUUCCGAGUGUAGAGGUGAAAUUCGUAGAUAUUCGGAGGAACACCAGUGGCGAAGGCGGCUCACUGGUCCAUUACUGGACGCUGAGGUGGCGAAAAGCGGUGGGGAGCAAACAGG
rnacentral:rRNA from 1 species